CUUCAGAGGGGGACAACAGUUGGAAACGACUGCUAAUACCGCAUAAGACCACGGUGUGGCAUCACACAGAGGUCAAAGGAGAAAUCCGCUGAAGGAUGGGCUCGCGUCCAAUUAGCUAGAUGGUGAGGUAACGGCCCACCAUGGCGACGAUUGGUAGCCGGACUGAGAGGUUGAUCGGCCACAUUGGGACUGAGACACGGCCCAGACUCCUACGGGAGGCAGCAGUGGGGAAUAUUGCACAAUGGAGGAAACUCUGAUGCAGCGACGCCGCGUGAGGGAAGAAGGUCUUCGGAUUGUAAACCUCUGUUGUCAGGGACGAUAAUGACGGUACCUGACGAGGAAGCCACGGCUAACUACGUGCCAGCAGCCGCGGUAAAACGUAGGUGGCAAGCGUUGUCCGGAAUUACUGGGUGUAAAGGAAGCGCAGGCGGGAGA
rnacentral:rRNA from 1 species